GCACGGGUGAGGAACGCGUGGAUAAUCUGCCUUAGAGUGGGGGAUAACUAGUCGAAAGAUUAGCUAAUACCGCAUAAGACCACAGGAGCUGCGGCUCUAGGGGUCAAAGGUUUUUCGCUCUAAGAUGAGUCCGCGUAAGAUUAGCUAGUUGGUGAGGUAACGGCUCACCAAGGCGACGAUCUUUAACUGGUCUGAGAGGAUGAUCAGUCACACUGGAACUGAGACACGGUCCAGACUCCUACGGGAGGCAGCAGUAGGGAAUAUUGCACAAUGGAGGAAACUCUGAUGCAGCGACGCCGCGUGAGUGAUGAAGGCCUUCGGGUCGUAAAGCUCUGUCGCAGGGGAAUAACACAAUGAAUGUACCCUGUAAGAAAGGAUCGGCUAACUUCGUGCCAGCAGCCGCGGUAAGACGAGGGAUCCUAGCGUUGUUCGGAAUUAUUGGGCGUAAAGCGGAUGUAGGUGGCUUUGUAAGUCAGAUGUGAAAGCCCAGGGCUCAACCCUGGAAGUGCAUUUGAUACUGCGAAGCUUGAGUGUCGGAGAGGUUACUAGAAUUGUUGGUGUAGUGGUGAAAUACGUAGAUAUCAACAGGAAUACCGGAGGCGAAGGCGGGUAACUGGCCGAACACUGACACUGAGAUCCGAAAGCGUGGGGAUCAAACAGGAUUAGAUACCCUGGUAGUCCACGCCGUAAACGAUGGAUACUUGUUGUUGGAGGUAUUGACCCCUUCAGUGACGAAGCUAACGCGUUAAGUAUCCCGCCUGGGGAGUACGGUCGCAAGAUUAAAACUCAAAGAAAUUGACGGGGGCCCGCACAAGCGGUGGAGCAUGUGGUUUAAUUCGAUGCAACGCGAAGAACCUUACCUAGGCUUGACAUGUACUGGAAGACUGGCAGAAAUGUCGUCGCCCGCAAGGGUCGGUACACAGGUGCUGCAUGGCUGUCGUCAGCUCGUGUCGUGAGAUGUUGGGUUAAGUCCCGCAACGAGCGCAACCCCUGCAUUUAGUUGCCAGCAUUCAGUUGGGCACUCUAGAUGGACUGCCGGUGUUAAACCGGAGGAAGGUGGGG
rnacentral:rRNA from 1 species